CAGUGCCGCGGGAAUACGGAGGGUGCAAGCGUUAAUCGGAAUUACUGGGCGUAAAGCGCACGCAGGCGGUCUGUCAAGUCAGAUGUGAAAUCCCCGGGCUUAACCUGGGAACUGCAUUUGAAACUGGCAGGCUAGAGUCUUGUAGAGGGGGGUAGAAUUCCAGGUGUAGCGGUGAAAUGCGUAGAGAUCUGGAGGAAUACCGGUGGCGAAGGCGGCCCCCUGGACAAAGACUGACGCUCAGGUGCGAAAGCGUGGGGAGCAAACAGGAUUAGAUACCCCGGUAGUCCCUGUCUCUUAUACA
rnacentral:rRNA from 1 species